CCUUUCUCCCGAUUAUUGCUUUUGUUUCUUUUCUCUUCUUUCCUCUUCCUUCUUUCUUCUCGACCGAACAGCGACAGAGACAGAGAUCAGAGACCGAGAUACCCGAUUUUCCGGUGGAUCAUCGGUGGGUCGGAGCUGACGACGCCGGUUAAGUCUGAAGAACUUUUUCUGGUGGGUUAAAGUCUGAUUUCCGGUGAUUGGGUGGAGGAUUGUUCCAUUGCCAAUUUUAGCAUUUCCGGUGGUUCUUCUCAGCUUCAAACGAAAAUCCUCAAGUAGGUGUGGUGCGGUAGAUUGUGUGCGAGCCUAGAGGUUGUUGAAUGUAACGACCCACUCCAACAACACAAUAUUGUUUGCUUUUGGUUCCCCUGAACUAGACUUCCAAUGAGGUCACUUAUCCUGGUACUACUAUCGCAGAAGCAUGCUUAACUACAGAGUUCUGAUAGGUUCAUGGUCAUCAUGGCUUUAAAACGCGUUGUGUUAAGAAGGGUACGUUGAUACAUAUAAGCAUAUCAUCAUUUCCAGGCGAUGUGGGAAGUCACAAUCACCCCCUCUUGGGAUUUAACGUCCCUGCUGGCGACCCUCAUGGGAUCUCCUCAUUUUUGACGUCCCAACGAGUGCCCGCUGGCAACCCUCAUGGGCUUCUUCACGCUCCCCCAUCUCAGGCUGAGCAAUGGCUCUGAUACCAUUUGAAACGAUCCACUCUAACAACACAAUAUUGUUUGCUUUUGGUUCUCUCGAACCAGACUUUCUAGAAGGUCAUCCAUCCUAGUACUAUCUCAGAAGCACACUUAACUGUGGAGUUCUGAUAGGUUCAUGACCAUCACGACUUUAAAACGCGUUGUGUCAAGAAGGAUGUGUUGAUACAUAUAAGCACAUUCCCAUUUCCAGGCGAUAUGAGACGUCACAAUGGAGGGAGCAUGCACAAGCCUAUGAGGGUUGCUAGCGGGCACACUUGUUGGAACCCCAUGAAUAUGGUGAUCUCAUGAGAGUCGCCAGCGUCCCCGCUGGGUCUCAAGAGGAGAUGAUUGUGACGUCCUAAAUCGCCUAGGUAUGGAAAUGAGUAUGUGCUUAUAUGUAUAUUUGUAUUAUUCUUGACAUAACGCGUUUUAAAGCCGUAAUUGCCAUGAACCUAUCACAACUUCGCAGUUAAGCGUGCUUCUGCGAGAAUAAUACCAGGAUGGGUGACCUCCUAAGAAGUCUAGUUCGGAGGAGUCAAAAGUGGACAAUAUUGUGUUGUUGGAGGUGGGUCGUUACAUCGAAGGGAAUUCCUUUGUUGUACUUUGGAGGUGCAGACUUUGCCUAAGUCAAUUUCUCCUCAUUUGUAGUAAUUUGUAUAUUGUGUUAGUAAUUGAGAUGUAGUAAUAUUAUAUAACGAUAUAGAUGCUCUGGUUAGUUUCAUGUAUAUGUUUAUGAGUUCAAUUCAAAAGAAAAAAUUAUUCAA